rnacentral:rRNA from 1 species
GUCUACGGCCAUGCCACCCUGAACACGCCCGAUCCCAUCUGAUCUCGAAAGCUAAGCAGGGUCGGGCCUGGUUAGUACUUAGAUGGGAGACUACCUAGGAAGACCAGGUCCUGUAGGCG